rnacentral:rRNA from 1 species
CCUACGGGCGGCAGCAGUGAGGAAUAUUGGUCAAUGGACGAGAGUCUGAACCAGCCAAGUAGCGUGAAGGAUGACUGCCCUAUGGGUUGUAAACUUCUUUUAUAUGGGAAUAAAAUGUUCCACGUGUGGGAUUUUGUAUGUACCAUAAGAAUAAGGAUCGGCUAACUCCGUGCCAGCAGCCGCGGUAAUACGGAGGAUCCGAGCGUUAUCCGGAUUUAUUGGGUUUAAAGGGAGCGUAGGUGGAUUGUUAAGUCAGUUGUGAAAGUUUGAGGCUCAACCGUAAAAUUGCAGUUGAAACUGGCAGUCUUGAGUACAGUAGAGGUGGGCGGAAUUCGUGGUGUAGCGGUGAAAUGCUUAGAUAUCACGAAGAACUCCGAUUGCGAAGGCAGUUCACUGGACUGCAACUGACACUGAGGCUCGAAAGUGUGGGUAUCAAACAGGAUUAGAUACCCUAGUAGUC